CCCUUAGAUGUUCUGGGCGGCCCGCGCACUACAAUGGCGCUUUCAGCGAGUUCCUAUGUUGAAUUUUCCUUGGUAUUCUUGGAAGCGGCGUCUUGACUUGGGAUAGAUCCUUGUAAUUGUUGGUUUUGAACGAGGAAUUCCUUGUAAUCGCGGUUGAUCAGCUCGCGUUGAAUACGUCCCUGCCCUUUGUACACACCGCCCGUCGCUCCUACCGAUUGGGUGUGCUGGUGAAAUGUUCGGAUCGGCCGUUUGUCGCGGUUUCCGCGGCUCGUGGCUGAGAAGUUCAUUAAACCCUCCCACCUAGAGGAAGGAGAAGUCGUAACA
rnacentral:rRNA from 1 species